UACGGGGGGGGCAAGCGUUGUUCGGAAUUACUGGGCGUAAAGGGCUCGUAGGCGGCCAACUAAGUCAGACGUGAAAUUCCUCGGCUUAACCGGGGAACUGCGUCUGAUACUGGAUGGCUUGAGUUUGGGAGAGGGAUGCGGAAUUCCAGGUGUAGCGGUGAAAUGCGUAGAUAUCUGGAGGAACACCGGUGGCGAAGGCGGCAUCCUGGACCAACACUGACGCUGAGUGAGCGAAAGCCAGGGGAGCAAACGGG
rnacentral:rRNA from 1 species